AUUCGGUUUCAAUCAAUUCUGCGGCUACACUGUUCAAUAGUUGUUUAAUCAUUAUAUUUUGAUAACGGAAUUAUCGCAAUCGAAUUCAGUAUAUAUUAAUCACGAACUAAAAUACUGUGAUCUACAUUUGGGUAGGUAUUUAGCACAGACUUCUAUACUAGUGUACUAGUGUAGAAGUCUGUGGUAUUUAGGUAGUCGGGUAUAGUCCUAGUAUCUUGGUCCAUGACAUUUUAGUGUUUUACAGUCAAUUUAAAAUAAAAUUAUUUUUGUAAUGAUUAGCCGUGAUCCGUGCAAUUACCUAAUUAUAGAAGUUCAAUCAAGAAAACACACUAGAAAUGUAAUAAGAACAACACUUAAGGUAAUCUUAAAAAAAUAUUUUUUUUACAGAAUCGUUCAAGAAAGAAAAAUUAUGUUUUUAUUAAAUCACCAAAAUUCAUAUAAUUGUGCAAGUUCAAUGAAUAUAAUAUGCAAGAGGAAAAUUAAUCUUUUGAUUUUUAUGUAUACUCAUAAGGACAUCAGGAUCAUGUCAAUGUGUAUUAGUUGGACCACAAAAAAAUUAUUAUCCAAAUAGUUUGCGGUCAUAUUGGGUAUUAAACAGUGAAUUAGAAAAAGUAACUGAUGAAGUGUCAUAAUUCUAUGUAGUAAUGGAAAUAACAAUAACUAAUUUGAUGACAAGUAAAAUCUGGUUUUCAGAACUUACACAUACAGAAUCUAGACAGUUAUCUAAGUUAAAUAUACACCAGUAUAUUUAAACAUUUUAACAGAUUUCCACACCACCUUAGCAUUGUAUUCAACAAAACUGGAGGUGUAUAUAUUGAUAGUGUGUCAAAGUCACUGAA